UUCGUGAGAUCCGCAGGUAAUACAGACACAUCAUAUUGUUACUGAAUUUAUUACUCAUCCAUAUGAAAGUUAUAUGCACAGAAACACACAAGAUCUCACUAGUCUCGAGUUUCAUUCCUUUACACUCUCAAUCUUGCAAUAAAUCCUUUUACCAUUUGAUGAUAUAUUACUCCAUUUUGGGAUCUCUAAUAGAUGAAAAGAUCUAAAAAUAUGACAUAUUGCUACUACAUAACAAUAAAUUAUAAAAUUGAGAAUCAAUACAGGGCCCAAAAACCAUCUAAAGUCCAAAUAGCACUGUUAAUAACAUGUGGAAACUUACCAACAACUGGAUCAAAAUCAAGUCUCAUUUUUUUUUUUGAGGGAUCAAGUCUCAUUUCUUAGGGCUCACUAUAUCUCAAUUUAUUAAAUUUGUUUAAAUUGAGAGAUAGAGCGUCUGAAGCCAUGAUAUUUGGUUUUGAUCCCGUUGUGUUUAAGUUUUCACAUGGUAGCAACAUUGGUCCUUGGACUUUGGAUGAUUUAUGACUCCGUAUUGAUUUUCCCAAUUUUAUAAGAAUUCUUCUCUUCUCCUAACUCAUUUUGCUCGCGCCCAAUUGAAAUAUCAAAAAUAUUCAUAUGUUACUUAACUAAUGCAAGUGUUAAAAUCUGCGCAACUUAAGUCACGCAACAUGAGUUAAGUUGCGCAUAGUUAUUCUAAUUUAUUUAUCCACGCUAUUCUAAUUUAUUUAUUUACAUUAUACUAAUUUAUUUAUUUACUUUAUUCUAAUUUAUUUAUUUACUUUAUUCAAAUUUAUAUUCGAAUUUAUUUAUUGAAUACGCAAUCAUAAAAUAAAUGCAACAAUUAACAAAAAUAAUAGAUAUAAAAUAUCAUUUUAUUAAUAUAAUUCUUAUUACAUUUACAAUGGGGUAAAACUAAAUUUGCGGAAAAAAAACCACCGGAAAACCUACCUAUCUGGGGUAAAACUAAAAAAAAAACCACCAUAAAACCUAGCUUGUUGUGGUAAAACUAAAAGAAAUCCACAAGAAAACCAGCCUUCUUGGGGUAAAACUAAAUCUACACAUUUAGGUUUACCCUUGAGGUAAAACUAAAUCUGCUUCGUUUUACCCCAAGAAGGCUGCUCACCAAUAACUUUUUUACCCCAAGAUUGACCUCUGUUUACACCUAAAUAAAGACUAAAAAAAGAAGAAAAAUACACCAAAAUAAAGCUAAAAUAAGAAAGAAAAGAAAGAGAUUCAUAGGGGGAGAUAGUGAGGAGGAGAGUGAGAAUGUGAGAUGGUGUGAGAAAAUGGGGAAGUUUGGAGGGGUAUUUAUAGGUAUGAAUGGUAACAUAGGUUAUAAGUACCAUAAAUGUAGUCAAAAAACGUGUAAAAGUUGUAAAAAAAACGUGUAGAAGGUAUAGGCUCAUACGACAAGGAUGACAAUUAUGAAGUGCAUCUUACUGAUGGUGAUUCAAAUUCAACUGUAACUACUACUGCUAGAAGACCUUUCAAAAAGAAAGCUCAUAACACAGAUUCAUCACCAAGUCAGGGAGAUUCUUUCCUGCAGAUUUUAAUGAGGUGUGGGGUCAACCUCCAUGCGUGAUUUCUGAAUUUCUAGCACAAUAAACACAAUUUGGUUAGCAAACAUAUAUAUAUAUAUAUAUAUAUAUAUAUAUAUAUAUAUAUAUAUAUAUAUCAAGCAAAACAGAGAAUAAUCCAACUGCACAACUUUACGAUUCGGGAAAUUUUAUAGUGAUAAGUUGACAUGUUUUUGUGGCAAAGUUAUGAUUACCGAUUUUAUACACUGGUGACAAUAAUGAAGCUUGGAUGGUAUUUUCACAAACAUGUUCAAUGAAAAAGAAGUGUACUAUGAGUAAUCAAUCUAAAACCUGCAAUAAACGUUUAUUUUUCAUGAAAUGUGAGACUCUUCCUCACGCUUAUAUAGCAACAAGAAGGUAUUUCAAAUUCAUUACAAAGUAAAAGAUGAUCGAAAAACUUUUGUAAUAAAAGUUAUCACAUAAAAAAAAAAAGAGGUGAUCACAUAAGAUAACAAUAUUAAUAUAUAAGUGAUUUUUUGUAAUUCACUUAGCAUGCAACUAAUUCAAACGGAACGGUAGAAUAUAUAAUGUUUUGAAUGUUGUUCAAUCACGUAAACCAAAUUGCAUAAUAUAAAAAGUGUUCUAUAAUUGAAAAAAAGGAAAAACCAAAAAUAGGCUAAAAAACACUAGCCCAAGAGACCUGCUUAAUACACAUAACAGAAGAGUUUUGAGAUAACUUGUAAAGUAAGAAAUUAUCCAUCUACGUUUUCGUCCUCAUCUUCCUCAAUUCCUAGCGCUGUCUGCUUGCGGAUUGGACAUAAAUUCUUCAACUCCAACCAUUGUUUGAUGCAGUCAAGAUGAAAGAUAUGCACACAAUCAAGUUACCAACUCUCUCGCCCUCCACAUAGUCCUCCUAAUAAACAUGAAAAAUGACGACUACGAGACUCGCACAAUCUAAUGUUUUUGGAUUUUAAUAUUUAGUUCAACUAUUCUUACAAAAUAAACUUGUUCGAAUAUCAUAGUAACUUUGUCAAAAACAAAAGAAUAUAGGUGUUUCUUUUUAUAAAAAAAAAAUAAUUAAGAUUUUAUUUCAACGCGGGACUUUGAUUUUCUCAAUAUCAUAUUGUUCCCUAAAGAGUUUCAUGUGCUAUUAGAAAAAGUUAAAUCACAAACUACCUAAAGAGUUUCAUGUGCCAUUAGAAAAAUCACAAACUAAAUUAAUUACAAACAAAUAAAUGUGAAAUUAAAUUUUGAGGUAAUAGAAAUGACAUUUCAAAAAGAAAGAAACAAGUAAAUCAAUGUUUUCCCAUCUAUUAUCACUAAAAAAGAGAAAAACAAUCUCUUAUACAUGCUAUUGUAAAAAGUUGAAACAGAUACAAAAAUAAGAAAUAUAUCUAUAAAAUAAAACGAGUUUUUAAUUUUACCAUGUCUAAACACUUAGGAAUGACAAAAAUAAGAGAUGGAUUUUUUUUUUUACGAAGUAAAUUGUGUUGACAUAAUCUUGAAAUUUCAUGUGUUUGGUUACACUCAAUUAAUUAAUGAAUGAAACAUGUAGUUGGCCUCACCUAGCAUAUGAUACAUGUUUGAUUAUGAGUACUUGUUUCCUCAGGAUUUAUCCGAUAAGUUUCCUGUUGAAUGUACAUAAAGAUUUCUUGUUCUGUCAGUCCUGUCUCGACACUCUCCCAUUGAUCAAUCUUGAGGAACAUUCAAUGGGAGAGUGAUCAAUUUCGGCACUUGAGAGUGAUCAAUGGGAAAGUGUCGAGACAGGAUUGAUAGAACAAGAAAUCUUCAGGUACAUUCAACAGGAAACUUAUCAGAUCAAUCCUGAGGAAACAAGUACUCAUAAUCAAACUUGUACUAUAUGCUAGGUGAGGUGAGGCCAACUGCAUGUUUCAUUCAUUAAUUAAUUGAGUGUAAUCAAACACAUGAAAUUUCAAGAUUAGGUCAACACAAUUUACUUCAUUAAAAAAAAAUUCAUCUCUUAUUUUGUCACUCCUAAGUGUUUAGACAUGGUAAAAUUAAAGACUCGUUUUAUUUUAUAGAUAUUUCUUAUUUUUGUAUGUGAUUCAACUUUUUACAAUAGCAUGUAUAAGAGAUUGUUUUUCUCUUUUUUAGUGACAGAUGCAAAAACUUUGAUUUACUUUGUUUCUUUCUUUUUGAAAUGUCAUUUCUAGUACCUCAAAAUUUGAUUUCACAUUUAUUUGUUAGUAAUUAAUUUAGUUUGUGAUUUUUGUAAUAGCACAUGAAACUCUUUAGGUAGUUUGUGAUUUAACUUUUUCUAAUAGCACAUGAAACUCUCCAGGGAAAUAUCAUAUUGAGAAAAUCAAAGUCCCACAUUGAAAAAAAUAAUAAUUUUUUUUUUAUUAUUAAAAGUCACUUAUAUUCUUUUGUUUUUGACGAAGUGACUCUUAUAUUCUAACAAGCUGAUUUCGUAAGAAUAGUUGAACUAAAUAUUAAAAUCCAAAAACAUGAGAAAUUUCAAGUCUCGCAACCGUAUUUUUUCAUGUGUAUUAGGAGGACAAUGUGGAAGUUGAGAGAGUUAUUAGACUUGAUCGUGUGCAUAUCUUUCAUCUUGACUGCAUCAAACAAUGGUUGGAGUUGAAGAAUGUCUGUCCAAUCUGCAAGCAGACAGCGCUAGAAGUUGAUGAAGAUGAGGACGAAAGCGUAGAUGGAUAAUUAGCCUAUAUUGGUUUUUCUUUUUUUCAAUUAUUGAACACUUUUUAUAUUAUAAAAUUGGGUUUACAUGAUUGAACGACAUUCAAAACAUUAUAUAUUCUACCGUGCCGUUUGAGUUAGUUGCAUGCUAAGUGAGUUACAAAAAAUCACUUAUAUAUUAAUUGUGUCUACCUCUCUUUUUUAUAUUGUUACUUAUGUGAUCACCUUUUUUUUAUGUGAUAUCUUUUAUUACAAAAGAUUUUCUAUCAUCUUUUACUUUGUAAUGAUGAUGAAUUUGAAAUACCUUCUUGUUGUUAUAUAUAAGCGUGAGUCUUUUCCGUUGAACAUGUUUGUGAAAAUCUCAUCCAAACUUCAUUAUUGCACUAGUGUAUAAGAUGGGUAAUCACAUCUCUGCCACAAAAACAUGUCAAUUUAUCACUAUAAAAUUUCCCAAAUCCAAAAGUUGUGCAGUUGGAUUAUUCUUGUUGGGUAAUGAUGAUGAAUUUGAAAUACCUUCUUGUUGUUAUAUAUAAGCGUGAGGAAGAGUCUCACAUUUCAUGAAAAAUAAACGUUUAUUUCAGGUUUUAGAUUGAGUACUCAUAGUACACUUCUUUUCCGUUGAACAUGUUUGUGAAAAUCUCAUCCAAACUUCAUUAUUGCACUAGUGUAUAAGAUGGGUAAUCACAUCUCUGCCACAAAAACAUGUCAAUUUAUCACUAUAAAAUUUCCCAAAUCCAAAAGUUGUGCAGUUGGAUUAUUCUCUGCUUUGCUUGAUAUAUAUAUGUUUGCUAACCAAAUUGUGUUUAUUUGUGUUGGAAAUUCAGAAAUCACACAUUGCCACUUUUGUUUGUAGGUAUCUCGGGUGUUUGAUACUUGUUAGUGUUCAAUACUAAGACAUGUGAUUACUUAUUUUCUAGUUGUUUUCCAUAUCGAUGUAUUCGUACAAGUGUUAUGUCCGAAAUUUGUGUAAGCGUUCGUAUAUCAUAGUUGAAGAGUUUCAAUACAUUAAAAAAAUGUGCCUUCAUUCUUUACUUGAUUAUGGACAACUAUAGAAAUACAGGUUAUACUAACAUUGUUGCCACAUUAAAAAACUUCUAUUAUUUAGUACAUUAAUAAUUAGUGAUGACACCUUGACAUAAUAAAUAUUUUAGUGUCAUUUAUGAUUAAUUUUGUAGUCUUUUAGGAAUGUAUUUUAUUAUUUUAGGGAAGUUUUGUACUAAUUUGAAGAAAUGAUCAAUAAAUAAAAGAAUUGCACUAAAGAUCUUUAAACCAUAUCAAUUAACCCAAACCAGACAACUUUAUGAUCAUGGCGUAUUUUGUACAAAAUGUAUUAAGUGAUCUUUUGAGAUAUAAUCACUACAGAUGUAUUAGUAAAGAGAAAUGAGACAAAAAUUGAAGAAAAUAAAUUAACCAACUACUUUCAGCUACGCAUCAUACAAGCUGCGAAGAAAGUCAUGGACAUGCCACUGUCUCAUGCCCAUUGUGCAGAGGAGGUUUGCACAUUUUGCAGUUAUGUUAUUGAACUGGUGGGUCACGAUUUCCUAUAUGAGGCAAGAAACAACACUCGUUUAGGGUUCAAUUUUUUUAUGAAAAGAAAUAUGAGGAAUGCGAUUUCUAAACAAUUCAAACUGAAGAUCAACCUUGGAAAUAAGAUUGGGGCUUUAUUAUCAUCAUCAUUAUCAACCUUGGAAAUUGGUUAAAAGUGUAAUGUUGACACAGUAAUUUUCACAGGUGAUCAGAAAAUUAGCAUGUGAGCAGUCUUACUGGAUGGUGAUGGACAAUUUGUAGCGGCGGUGAGUGAUGUUUUGAGGACUUCGAUGACACCUUUAGACAGUGAUACGUUGGGGCUGCUUCAAGGCCUUAAUUGGAUCUUAACUUUGGGUCAUCAAAAGGUCAUUUUUUAAUCAGACUGGAAGAUGUUGCUUGAUUAUAUGCACUCCAACAAGAUGAAUCAUUUGGAGUAUGAUAUAAUGGUGAAAAAUUGUAAAACUAUACUUCAUACUUAAAAUAGCCAUGUAGACGUGUUUAGGGGUGAUUGGGUGGUUUAAAGAUCCCGUCAAAUCCACCCAAAAAAGUAGGUUGGGUUGGGUGAUUGGGUGGAUAUGGUUUUAAAAAUGAAAAAUCCAUAAAAAAUAAUGGGUUUUGGGUAAAACCGGACCCAUAUCCAAUAAACCAACUUAUCCAAUAAUUUCCAAAUUUUAAUUUCAUUUUCAUAGGGAGGAAGAAGAAUAACAAAUGUUUUGAUCAUAAAUUUAGUUUAAUUUCUAAAAUUGACACAACACAUCCUCUAUAUUGAAAAUAAAAAAAUAUUAGAGUUACAAAUUAUGAUGUUGCAAUUUAUAGUUACUUUUAUGCUAAAGCAAUUUUACGUCAUCCAACUUUAAUUUAUUUUAAGUAUUCGAUGAUUAAAUUUUUUAUUUAAUAUUAAAAUUUAUUAUUUUAUGAUGCUAAAAUAUAGUGAAAAUAGGUUACAUAAUUAUUUUAAAAAAAUAAAAAGUUGAGAAAUUUUUAUGAAAAAAAUACAAGGACUCGUCGUUUAGUCAUUUCAUACUAACAAAAAAAAAAAGGGUAACCCACUACCCAACCCAAACCAAACCGGAAAUUAGUGGGUUUGCCCAAACCCACCCAUUAAUUUAACGGGUGGAUAUUUUACCUAACCCAAACCGGAGUACCCUAUAUGGUUCGGGUCUCGGGUUUGGCCAAACCCAACCCAAAUCGACCCAUGUACACCCCUAGACGUGUUUACUAGGCGUCAAGCAAACAGAAACAUUCAUGCUCUUACAAAGACGGCUUUAUCGCAUGCUUUUUGCAGUCCUUUUAAUGAAAUGUCUUGAGUUUGCUUGACAGUAAAAAAAGAAAAAAAAAAUUUAAAUCACAUUUGAUGUUUAAUUAUAAGUUAGGUGUUUGAAAUUAAAUUGGCAAAUCCUCAUACUCGAUUGUGUGUGAAAUUAUUUUUCGCUCUAUUGAGUUUAUGUGUAACAAUUUUGUGAAGCUUUUUUUCUUUUUGUUGACAUGUGAAACUUAUGUUUUUACUUUGUCAAAGGUGGAUGUAACGUAUUAUAUGGGGUCAGUACUAAUAAAUGUGACCAGGUGUUGUGUUUUUGGCCAUAUAAUAUUCUAAAACUUUUCUCACGAAAUAUCCAUUGGAGUGUGUCAAGUUUUUACAUUUCACUUCCAACUGUUCUAAUUUGAUUUUAGUUGCUUUGAAAGCUUAGUAGCUAUCUUCCAUCAACAUAUGCUACAGAGGAGUGUGAGCUUAGUUUUAUAGGAUACCAAAUACCAAACAAUCAAAUAUAGUUCAAAAAAAAUUUUUAGGGAAGUUGUACAUUAUUUUUUGUAUCAUUUCUUGGUUAUAAAUAACUUCUGUCAAGUUUUUUACGUUGGAUACCAAGAACAAAUCAACCAUUUUAUGUCAUGGCAUCGCAUUAGUAUUAUUAACACACGUUAGUAUUACAACAGAUAUUUGGAAAUAAAUAAAAAUAACUAUUAGUUGUUUAUUUGAGGAAAAAAAAUACUAUUAGUUUUGUUGAGCUUAAUUACUAUGCCAUGGACCUUUGAAUGUUCAACCAUAGGUAUUGGAAACGUGAUUGCAUCUAUUCAGCCAGAAGAAACAGACAUUCACCAUAAUGUGAGAAUAUUUCUAAAAUGAUAGGAUCAAAUAGAUAUGAAAUAUUCAAAUCACAAAAAUGAGUUCUCACUGCAAGAAAAUCACAGAUUUGCUACGAAUUAAAUCGUAGCUAACGCGCAGCUAAUAUCUAGCAAAACUCAUUUACCUACCAUUUUUUAGUUGUGAUUUAGCUGUCAUGAUCUAGCAUGGAUUGGGCGGCAAAUUACAUAGAAAAUAUUUCCUAGCUAACUGGAAACUAAUAUUUAGAAAUUCCUAGCUAUUUUCAAACUAAUACUAUUCAAAAUUUAUUUUUCCUAACUAUUUGGCUGGGAUAUUGACACAAUAAUUUUAAAGUAAAUCUCUAGCCUCAAGUUCCUAGCAAUUUUGUAGUUUCCUCCUAGCUAUUUAUAUUAUUAUAAUUUUCUUUUUAUAGUAUCUAAUCAAAAAGGGAUUAAGCUAAAUUGUGAAAAAAUAUAUAUACUUAAAAUGUCGAUAAAUAGUCAUUCAUUCACAAUCAUUGAUUAUCAGUGUACGCUUGCACUAUCCUAGCCAAAAAAAAAAACUCAAUUAAAAUCAUUUACUGAGAUAUAUCCCUUCUUCUCCAUAUAUUGAUUUGGUGCUUCUAAACAAUUGAGUUUAUUACAAGAAAUGUAACAACGGAAAUAAAGAUACGACACAUGUUCUUAGAACUAACAUAUAUUUUUCAAUCCGCUAUAAUACAUAACAACGUAGCAGAAGAUAAUCGAAGACAACUAAACCAUGGAGACGUGCCAUAGCACAACAUCUGUCCUUUCACAACUUGUCCUCCAACAUGCCUCUGAGAUUAGAAGAUUGAGUUUAUCAUGUUUUAGAAUCCACAACAUCUCAUAUCUCGAUUAAGAAAGGGAAAUAGCAUAAUAGGUUCACUAUAGCCUGAGUCCUUAAUUAAAAGAACUAACAAUAAGGAGAGGAUGUAAUCAUUGAGAAAACAAUUUAUCAAUCAGAGCAUGUCCAUUCUUACCUGCAGCAGGAAGCACCUAAGAAUUCGCAGCCUGAAAACAAUGACGAAAAUUAGACAAAGGCAUUCUAGGUGUUCCACCUAACAAUGAAACAGCCACUAAUAACUAGGAGAUGUUCACUAGUUUUACCCUAUAAUGAAAAGUAUUCUUACUCACUUCAUCCUCAUCAGAUUCAUAGCUGGAACUGAAACAAUGAAAACAAAUAUAUACGAACGAGCAGCUCAGCAUAAUUUCAGGUCAAAAUCCCAACCCCUCUCUAUAAUAACAUACACAUCUUCCAAAUACUCCAAUAUGUCCCCACAACCAAAGUAAAAUCAAAAAGAAAACAAUUUAUCAAAAGAUAUAUAAAAGAGGCAAUUCUAAAUAUUAUAACACUAAGCCUUUCUACGCAAUUAGAUUUGUGCGGUAAUCUUUCAACUAGAUCUAAGAGGCAAUUUUCCCUGUUUUUCUGAUUUUGGAGGCUUGACUCAUUCAGACGACAAAAAGUUUCAAAAUCAAAGGCAGAUAAGUAGGCCCACAAGUACCUCCAGUUCUUUGCUAAUAUGGAAGUUCUUACAGCAUCUUUGGUAGGGAGUAACGAAAGAAAAACUUAUACUUCUCACUAGUCCUAAAUAAUGUAUUCAAGCAUACAGCUACAACAAGAAAACCAAAAAUAAUGAUUAUAAUCAUUGCAAUUUACACUUCUCACUAGUCCUAACGUCUCUAAUCGUGAAAAGUCUCAAGUCGCCAAAACAUUCAUCAUAAUGUGAGAAUAUUUCUAAAAUGGAUUUGAAAUGUGAGAAUAUUUCUAAAAUCACAAGAAUGAGUUCUUCCAUGUUUAGCUGUGAUUAAUGAUGAAUCAUUACAUCUAUUUGUGCUUGAUAUGAUUGUAUGGAAUUGCGAUUCUUUGUGAAGGGCUCUUACUUCUCAUCAAGUGGUGAAAUUUGUUCCUAUUCGUAUAUCAUUUCGUUUAUUCUCAUCAAGGGAAAUUAGAGAAUGAAUGUUGACAAUUAUUUGUAUUGAAUUUAAUUUACAACAACCACAUCAUCAAGAACAACAACAACAAAAAAAAAACUUAGAUCGCAUAUCGUUCUCGUUCAUAGUCAUAAAACUAAAAGAAAGGAAAUACAUUUUUCAUAAAAUUAAAACACACAUCAUAAUCAUAAUAUAAUGGCAAAACAAUUUUACAGAUAAAAUAAUUGUAUUUUAAACGCAAAACACUUUUAUUUUUGGCUUGACAUGAGAUGGGAAAAAUAUAAUGGCAUCAAAUUUCAAAAACUGAAAACAUGAAAUAUAUUGGAGUAUUUUGUAAAUCACUUUAUUUAAUUGUUUGUUUUUUAAGUACACUUUAUUUAAUUGUUGAAACUAGCAGGAUCAAUAACAUACUAGUAUUCAAGUGCUCCAUUUUGUAUUUUUAUUCCAAUUGACAUUAUCCCAGCUAUGAUAUACACCAUCUUGCCUCACUGACCAAAAUAUUUUUUUAUGGUCUCCUUCUGUGUUAGGAUCAUACAAGUUGAAUGUUGCAUGUAAUGGUUGUUUACGUAUCCAUGUCAAUUGACCUUGUUUUGGCAAAAAGUUGGUCAAGAAAUUCAAAGGUACUCCUUGUUUCAAAACAUAAUUAGGUUUUUCAUUCACAAUGAUGAAAUGUAACUCUUCUGAAUUUUCAGGCAAAUCAUUUUCAACAAAGAGGGAAAGUACUUUUUCUGCAGGAGGUCGUUCAUAAGAUUGAAUAGAGACUCUACUACCAAAAGUUGAAUUAUUGAAAGACAUAACAAUCACAAGUAAUAACGAGAAAGAUUUAUGAAUUGAAAUAGACAUUUUGUUGACAAGGGAUUUUUGACAAUUGCUUUUUUCUGUUUUCUCUACCAUUUCAUUCUAUUAUAUAUAUGAAAUUUGGGCUGUGCUUCUUUUGUUUGUGAAAAUAAGACUAGUCAAUAUUCCCUAAAUAAAAAAUAAAAAAACUAGUCAAUAGACAUUAAUUUUUUUAUAUAAAAUCAAUCAACAUUAACUUUGACCAUAUAUAUAUUGGCUGAUUAUAAUAAUUAAACGAUGGUAUUAUUUUUGGUAAAUCAUAUCAGACAGGGUUUUCUCUUAAAUUUGUGUCAAAAGAAAAAAGUUGCUCACUUAAAUUUUAUUGAAAAGAAACAGUCAAACUGUUUCUGCAUUCAUGCCAGAGAAUUUCUUUGGUAAGAAGUUACCUUUUUAACGAUAUUAUUCCCCACAGAAAAAAAAAAAAAAUCAAAUCUUACUUUUUCUUUGUGCAAAAAGUUAAGUUAGUAAUUAAAUUCGAAUAUAAAUAUGUUGGGAUUUUUUUUUAUCAAAAUACAUGUUGAGAUUAUUUCUCAUGAACCGUUAGAGUGUGUGUUUGGAUUGGGAAAUUUUAAAGAAAUUAAAAUUUUAGGCAAUUUUUUUUUUUUUUGUGGUGGCUGGGGUUUGAACCCCAGACCUUGCAUAUUUUAUGCAUUAUCUAUAUCAACUGAGCUAAGCUCGCGAGGACAAAUUUUAAACAAUUUAAAUGAUUCAAUUAAAUUUCUUUCAUUUUUCAAUACUUUUGUUUGGGUGGAGUAAUAAAAAAUUUCAAUGUCAUCAUCAUUUUUGGGAAACUUUCAUAAAUUUUAAUUUUUUUUGGGCCAAAUUUGAAAAUUGAAAUUAUGGGCCAAUUUGUAAAUUUCAAAAAAUUUGAGGGGUCAAAUUAUAAUUUUUAAAAAAUUGAGAGGUCAAUUUAUAAUUUUUUGGAAAUUUAUUGGGGUCAAAUUGAAAAUUUUGAAAAAAUUAAGGACCAAAAUGCAAAAUUUGAAAGAUUAUAACAAUGAAGAAUUUUGAAUUUCUAUAAAUUUAACUUGAACAAAAUACUUCAUAAAUUCCCAUCAUUUUGAAAAUUCUUUAUUGGGGUCAAAUUGAAAAUUUUGAAAAAAUUGAGGACCAAAAUGCAAAAUUUGAAAGAUUAUAACAAUGAAGAAUUUUGAAAUUCUUACCUUUUAGGUGUCAUUUGAAUUUCUCUGAAUUUAACUUGAACAAAAUACUUCAUAAAUUCCCAUCAUUUUGAAAAUUCUUCAAAUUAUUAUCCAAACAAUGGAAUUCACCUCAAAGUAUUUGAAUUCCCUGGUAACAUUACAUUCCCUCAAAACAUUCCCCCAUCCAAACACAAUCAAUCACCAUGGCAGGUACCAAGCAAACAGCACGCAAUACUGGCGGCAAAGCACCACGAAAGCAGCUUGCCACCAAAGCCGCUCGAAAAUCAGCUCUGGCAGCCGGAACAGUGAAGAAGCCACACCAUUUUUGUCAUGGAACGGUUGCUCUUCGUGAGAUCCGUAAUUACCAGAGGAGCACUUCUAAUAAGGAAGCUUCCGUUUCAGAGACUUGUGAGGGAAAUUGCUCAGGAUUCAAGACUGGUCUGAGGUUCCAGAGUAGUGCUGUUUCUGCUGUUCAAGAAGUUGUUGAAGCUUGUUUUGUUAGUUUGUUUGAAGAUACUAAUAUUUGCGCUAUUCAUGCUAAGUGAGUUACUAUUAUGGCAAGGAUAUUGAACUUGCUCGCAGAAUCAGAGGCGAGAGGGCUUAGAUUUGAUUAAGAUGUUUCAAGUUAGGGUUUAGGGUUUCUGAUUUAUGUGUUUUUUAUUCUGUUUAAAUGGUUAGCUUGUUAUUAUCUUGUAACAGUGCUAUGAUUUUCAAUUUUCAUAGUUUUAUCAUUAUGCAUAGCUUUGAUUUGGUAUGAUUAUUUAUUAAAAGUUUUGUAGUCUUUUGUUUCUGUAACUUUGCAUAUGAGUCGAAUAUUAUUUUAGUAAGAUACUUAUUUGUUAAUGAUUGUCACUUUUCUAGGACUACAAGGAUAUGAUUAAGAUUGAAAAGUCGCAUUGAAACUUAUUACACAAAUGUAGACAAUGGACAUGAAAUUGACAGUGACGUGUGGACACCAGUAAUAAUUUGAGAAAAUAAAUUAUUUGAACGUAAUCACAUGUGUUGGUGGCUUGUUGUUGUUAGACAUUAGACAUUCUUUUGAUGAGAGGUGUUGGUACUACGAUGAUUGAAACACAAUUUACGCAUUCAUUUCCUUUUAGUCGAUUGUGGACAACAAUAUUCAGUUAUAGAUUUCUUCUGUACACCAAUGUAGAUAUCAAGACCUGAUCAAUUUUAUCUGAUGUGCAUUCAUUUGUUUUCAUAGUUCCACCUGAAACUAUCAUUGAUAAUGUAAUGGCUGCUUUGAGUUGUGGAAGUCAAUGUGAUACUAAUACUAUGGUACUUUGAAUUGAAGGUGUGUCUAACGCGUCUUUAGUGUCGACAAACAAAGUAGAAUCAAAUUCAAAACUUUAUCUUAGAUUCUAUAUAUACAAACAAAGGGGAAGGCACUUUUUUUGGUUCUAAAGAAUAGUAUUUGCACUAAUAAUUUUUUUUAACUAAAUAAUAACUUAUAAAAUUCAACCGUCUAACUGUGAUUCUUAUUUUAAUUUUCAUUCAUGCUUAUCAAUUUUAACAUAAAAUUAGCAUUCAUAAAUAUGCAAAAUUAAUAAAAAAAUAAAACAUAAAUACAAUUAAAGACUUUCAUGAAAAUGGUAUUCAAAAGGAACCAAGAUAACUUUUUUUACAAGAAUUCAAAAUGAAAAAAAAAAUUAUAUAUAUAUAUGAGUACAUUUUCUUAUCUUGAUUGGAACAAAAGAGGUUAACAAAAUCUGCAUGCUGUGUACUGUUUUCAGUAGUUAGUCACACAGCCAUUAUCCACAGAACCUUAAAGAGACUUAAGCUCUUGUGGCAAAUAUUUUCUGUUUUCCACUUUUAAAUAUGAUAAUAUCAUCUUGUUUUUAAAAAAAUUUCCUUUUUCAAAGUUUAGUAUAGAAACAUUGAAAUAAACAUUUUAUUAUUUUCAAUGUUGUCUAUAGAAAACUGGGAAAUAAAAACAAAGUGAUAUUAUUGUGAUUAACAGUCAACAUAUAAUGACCAUGACACCAAACAAGUCUUAGAUCUCUUGAAGAGUGGUUUUUGAUAGUAUACUGCUGACUGCAUCUUUUUCAUUCUGCCGCGCGCCAUCGGUGGCGGCAGAGUAUAAAAAGUCAGAAGCUGAAUGCAACUCAAUAAGAUAACAGCCACAGGAGAAAUGUUGACCAAGCAGUGAGAGCUAUGGCUGCAGCACUAUAUGUCCACAACAGAAUAACUGAACACUCUUCAUUUCCUACAUCAAACAGCUGAGCCAUUGUACCUACAUAAUGUAUCAUCAAAUUAAUUUUGAAGUUAGGAACAACAAUAUAAUAUAGGAUUUAAUUGAUAUGCACCGACAGUCUAAUAUAUAGAUUUUUACACUGUCAAUCAAUCAUAACUUUGGGAUCAUUAAAAAAUAUUUGAUUUCAGUUAUAUAUGUAUACCUUUAUAUUCAUACAAAAGAUGGUUUGUGAUCCAUUGACAGUGUAAAAAGUUUUACACUUAGGGUGCAUCAAAAUUAAUCUCAUGUAACGUAUCUAUGGCUAAUGAAAUAACAACUAAUGUACUUCAAUCAAAACAACUUCUAUGCAAAUAUGUAAUCUAAUCACUUACUAAUAUUCAUUGCUGGUGGCAUUGCAUACUGCAUCACCAAUGUAUACUGAAACAAAGGAUCCACUGGGAGAAAGCCGUAACUAGCCGCGGCUUUCACAAUAAACAAUCCAAUAACAGGUAGCAGGAAAAGCCGGGUUAUGAUGAUGCAGAUGAGUGUCAAUGGUUUUACACUUGAUGAUUUCAAGCCUGCCGUGAGGUUACCACCAAGCAAAAGCGUGAUGCAAGGAAUUGUUCCGUUCCUGCAAAGAAUUAAGUUUAAACACAUAAUUGUGUGGUUAAAAAAGAAGUAGAGACUUUACGGACUAUUUGAUUUUUAUGAAGAAAUUAAGGCAGAUACCCAAGUAAUUCAAGAGUGCUUUGGAUUACUCUAAAUGGAGCAUUGUCUCCAAUUAUUAACUUCCUUAACCAUGCAACCGCUCCAAAGAGGAAACCGAAAAACUGAUCAUGGAAUAAGUAAAUGUUAAAUUUGAAACAAAUGUAACAAAGCAGAGAAGAAAGCAAGCAAGAAAGAAGAUAAAAAAAGGGGAACUCACUAUAGAAAUUGCUGGAGGUGAUAUUAGUUCUGCUAGAAGAUGAGUUACAACUUCUAUUAUUCUUUUAAAAAAUGAUUGUUUCUCCUUCUUCGACUCAUGAGACUGAUCUUGUUCAUUAACCUAAAAAUCAAUAUAGUUGAGGACAUUUCAAAUUAUCACCGUCUGAAAUAAGAGUUAAAGGAAUUAAAGGACCAGGAUUCAAACCUGGUGAAAUAGAAAAAUUUAACAUAACAACUAAUAAGCUACAUUUGCCAAUUCAAAAAAAAAUUAUAGCAUAAUUUAGCUCCCAAGGUCUUACAAUUUGGCUUUCAGAGUCUUCAAUAUAACUCGACGGUAACACUUCUAUCACGGCGUUUUCAUCGUCUUUUCCCUUUAGAAGGGGAGUUUCUACAUUUCCUUCAAGAUCUUUGUUUGGUGCCUUUAGGAUCUCAGCAGCCUCAAGUGCCUUAAAUCUCAAUGAGCUGCUUCUUAUAGUUUGAAAAGUAUAGGUCCAUACGAAAAUACCACCAAGCUACAAUCGAAAAAUUAUCACAAGACAAUACAAUAAGAUACACAUACUUCUGAUAGAAGUCACGUCUAGUGUCCGACAUGACACUGACGCAGGCGAUUAUAUUCAAUUAAUCAUAUUCUCAAAUUAUUAUUGGUGUCGAUGUGUGAGUGCCGUGUCCGGUGUCUAUAUCAGUGCUUCAUAGAGUAAAGUAUAAAAAUGUGAAUAGGAUGAUGAUGCCUUACUGCCAUAGAGAAAGAUGCAUAUGAGAGUGCAUUACUGCGACAAACAUCACGUGCACCAAAUGGACCUCCUUUCUCAUCACAUAUUGCUGGGAUGAUUACAAUUGGCAAGUUUCCCAUGUUUCCUGGUUAAUUAAAGCAUAAUUCAUGAAAUCAGAUAAUUUUAGAUAAAGUUUUUCAUACAGUAACUUUAAUGCUAUAUUAUGUUAUAUUGUAACAGUUACAAUUAUUUAUCUAUUCAACAAAUGCAACUUUCCAAAAAUAUAUUUUAGAAAUAUCUCUCACAAUACCUGAUGAACAAGCAGCAAUAAUAAGACCUUCUACUUUCAAGUUAGGUCUUAGUAAUUUUACUAAUAACCAUCCUAAAAUCCCUCCAAUUAAGAAGGUGAGUCCAACAUUAACAGGCAUAAACCACCUGUAUCAAUCAGAAAUAAACAAAUUGAUUACCGUGAUAGCAAAAUCAGAGCUAUUUUCUGAGAGUCGAAAACUUAAAAGCCAUAUGUACCAUGAUAUCAUAUCUUGAAGUGAAACACUUUUGGCAAAACUUGAAAAUAUAAGAGAAGGAGUGAAUAUAAAGAAUACAACCUGCAAAACAGAUAAAGCAAAAAAACAAAACAAAGUCACUACUUUCCGAUUAGAAUCGGCUAAGGAACCUUAAAUCAAUGACCGAAAUCAAUGAAUGCAUGUAAGUGCGUGAUUUUCUAAAUAGAGAGAAAUAUUUGCUCUUCACAUUGAAAAUGUGUUAUGUGCAUAUACAAUACUAUAAGUGUUACUUAUAUUUAAAUUGAUUAAUAUAUUUAAUUUAGCUUGAAAUUGAAUCACUUACCUUGUUCAAGGAUUUCCUAAAAUCUGGUGAAAGAAGAUUAUUGAAAUACUGAGUGGCCAUGAAAGCUCCCAAUGCACUAACAAGUAAGACUUGAAUAACUGGCAUAGAAGCCACUUCCAAAAGUUGUACAAAACCCAUCUUUUCUUUUGAUUUUCUUAUUGUGCUGCAACUGAAUUAUACUAUACACACUUCUUGUAUUUGCUGCUGAAUCUGAACACUUUACUUUGAAUUUAUUUCUGUAGGUGAGAAAGAUGAAUGAUCAACGACCAAUUCUUAUUUACUGAGAUGUAGGGUCAAGGACCAAUGAGUCAGUGAGUACACUAAAUACACGUUUGCAUAAAUUUCUUAACAAUGAGACAUGACAUCAUAUGUCACGUGCUUGAUUGUUUAGACCAAACCAGAUGCAGUGACGACCACAUUUAACUUACUAGUAUCAAUCAAAGUGUAUAUUAUUGCCAUAAACUAUGUAACAUUAUUAAUUCAAAAAUACAAUGUUGUAUUGCUUUAUAUGCUGGUGCAUGACAACAUGAAAAAUUAUUGGUUUAAUGACAAUACAUCCUCCCUACAUAACUUACUCAUUAAAUGUGAAACUGUUAACAUCUCCGAUCGCCCACUAUUAGACAUAUGUUCUAAUUAAUAUGUCUAAGUGACUCGUUAGUAGGUUGGAUAAAAUUUUGAUCGGCUUAAGAGUACGGCUACUAAAGUCUUUUCUUUAAGCCGAUCAAUAAAAAAAUAUUUUUCAUUAGAUUAUAUAAACAAAAUGUUUCUUAUGCAGACAAAAAUGAUUCAUAUAAACUUAUUUGAUGCCUCACUUUUUAUUAAAAAAUUGUUGGAUUGACUUUCGAUAAACUCUAAUUCCAUCUUAAAAUUUGAGUUUGAUAACUCAAUCUUAUCAAAUUGGUUUAUAACACUUCUUUGACAGAAAUUUUUAUAACAUUUAUGAACACAUUUUCAUGUGUUAUCUCAUGCUCCCCCUAAAAAAUUAAGUAUCAUUCCAAACAAUCAUGAUAUAAUAAUAAUAAUAAUAAUAAUAAUAAUAAUAAUAAUAAUAAUAAUAAUAAUACAUUAUUUAAUUGUUAUAUUUCUUCAAAGAACGGAAGAACCUUUCAAUUGCAAACCGUAAAUGUCCAAUAUGUUAAAAGAAGUAUACAAUUUGUUUAGUUGACAUUUGAUUUAUUUAUUAUUUAAAGAUAAACCUAAAGUCAUAUAAAACUAGUGUACUCUAAUUUCUUACAUAAAAAAUGGGUGAUUUACUUUGUUAUAUAAAAUAUAAACAAAAGGAUAAGAGAAUCAAUGUUGAUUGUAUGCAAUGCAACUUGCAUCCCUCGAGUCACAUCUAAUUUGGUCAUUGUUUUUGUAAGUCACUUUUGAUUUAAUCUUCAACUCUAUUAAUAUUUUAAAAUAAUUUUUAUCUUUGUCAAAAGUUUCUCAAUUAGAUCUUUGUAUCUAUGUUUUUGUCACAUGUCAAGGGAUUUAAUUGAGAAAUUUUUGACAAAAACAUGAACUAUUUUGAGAUAUUGUCCAAAGUUUCUCGAUUAGAUCUCUUUCUCUUUGUUUUUAUCACAAAACGAGAACAUAAUUAAAAACUUUUAACAAAGACAUAGAUUAUUUUGAAAUAUUACUAGAAUCGAAGACUAAUUUAAAAGUGACUUAGAAAGACACAUAGAUCAAUUUAAUUGUUUACUCGGUCCAAAUUCUAUGUAGUGCAUGAGAGUUCAAAAUAAUUUUACUUUUUCAGAAAGAGUCCAAAAUAAUUAGAAUUUCAAAAAUUACAGGGAAAUGGGAUAAGUUUUUUAUUAUACGUGUUGCUACAGUGUACGCAUGAACUUGUAUGAAACAUCCUCCACGUGAAUUGAAAGGUUUAUUCCAUUGUUACGUCUUUGUGACAAAAAAUAUUUAUUAUGAUUGAUUGUUAAUUUGUUGUUAUAUAUAUAUGACAAUGUACAGCGAGCUAUUUUGUCAAAUUGCACAUAAUUGAAAAUAGAUAGAGGGACAUUGAACCAAUAGAAAAUUAGAGAGACUAAAAUCACACAUAACUCAAAUUAGAGGUACCAAAAUGAUAUCUUAGCCACAUAUAUUUUAGCAGAAUGGUCACGUCUCUGAAGAGUAAUAGUUUUAUUUAUACACAUAAAAAGAAAGUUAUAGUUGUAAAGUUGUACUACAAUUGUAUUAUUGAUUAUUAUUAUUCUUAUUAUAUGAUAAUCUGAUUAGAUUGUGUAAAUAUUUGGCCAUCGGAAUGUAGCUAGCUAUUAGCCUGUUAGAUGCAUUGUAUUUCCAUCAAUCAUUACCAUUUUCAUAUCAAGUCAAAGAAAAGAAACUUUCAAUUCAAUAAUCCCGGCUUAUACGUUGAGCUAAAUAUGAGUUGGUUAUACUAAUGGAUCUGUAGUAUUGAAGGCUCUUGAAAAAUGAUUAUGUUGCAAGAUGAUGGCCCUUUAAAUUUAAACAAAUAUUCCUAUUUUAAAUGAUAAGUCUCUAGUUAGUUUUUGAUGGAAGAAUAUCUUAAAUAACAAAAAGUUUAUUUAUGGUCCAAAUCUUUCUUAAAUUGUGUAGAGUCAAAAUUGCACAAUGGCAAAAGAUGAAUUUAAACCUUAAUUCAAAGGGCUUAAAACAAAGUAUAUAAUAUAUUAUCAUUAAAAAAAACAUGAAAGUAUAUAACAUGAGCAUAAACAAAGAAUAAAACAAAAACAUAUUAUACAAAUGACCAAUAAAUGAAAGAAUAUGCUUAUGCAUGUUGAAGCUAGAGAGAUAUGGAAUGAACCUGGGAAAUGGAGGCUUUGGGCCACGUCAAUAUUCUUUAGGGAAGCUGAGCCAAUUGUGCUUUGUCUAAAUGUGCCUACCUUGUCUUCUGUAUAGUAUAUAUAUGUAUAGAACUAUAUAUAGUUAUACGUGGAGAGGGAUAUGAAAGAAAUUGGCAAAUUGGUACCCCAAUCAUGUGGGAGUAAAAAAAUUGAUUAUUUCCUCUAACUUCAACCAAACCCAACGUAGUCAUCAAUGACGCAAGUGGGAUGAACACAAAACAAAUACGGUUCUAUGCGAUGGCUUUCAUUCAUAUAAUCCGUGUAAUGCGCACGGGUAAUAAACUAUGCAUUUUUUUUGUUAUUCAAAAAAACAAAUGUCAUUCAAAUGUUUUCUAGGUGUGUUCCUAUGAACUUAUCUCGGUUGAUAAGGACAAUGCAUAAUAUAUAUGUAAAGUUUGAAGUUCGAAUUCCGGAGUUACUAGAGACACAAAAGAUCUUAAUUUUACUAAAUUUAUUACUCAUCCUGUCAUCCAUAUGAAAGAUAUGUGCACACAAUGACUCAAGAUCUCAAUAAACUAGAGUUUCAUUCCCUUCCGGUCUCAAUCUUGAAAUAAAUCCUUUUUACCAUUUGAUAAUUUAGUUCUCCAUUUUGAGUUCUCCAAUAAAUUAAAAGAUCUAAAAAUAUGACAUUAUACUACUACAUAACAAUAAAUUAUAAAAUUCAGAGUCAAUAUGGGUCCAGAAACCAUCCAAAGUCCAAGUAUCAUUUUUUCUACCAUCUGAAAACUUAACAACAACCGGAUAAAAAUCAAAUCUCAUAGUUUUUGAUGCACUAAUGUUGGUUGAAGAUAGUGUGAAAACAUCAUAGUGUAGAGAGACUAGCUAUGAUCAAAAUGUAGUUUUUUUUUUUUUUGUAGAUAGACGAAAUGGCAAAGCCAUUAUAAAACUCACACACACAAGUGGAGGUACCGGGGUUCGAACCCCGAUCAUAGCAUCCGGCCUAACAAUUUCGGCAUUUUGCCAGUUGAGCUAGGACUUCUGCAUAAAUGUAGUUCUUUAUUUGACCAUAUGCUGGGGAAGUUAAUUACCUCAAUUUCUUUCCUUCACUUUUUAUGUCGUAGAAACACACAAUCUGUCAAUAAAUUAACUUGAAACAUAUACAUAUUCUCCAAAAGUUAUUAUAUAUAUCACCCAAAAAAAUUAGGAUUUUAUCGGAUUCAUAUUUCAAAGGAUAAAAUAAAAAUUUAUAAUUAUUUUUUUCAAGGAAAAAGUUAUAAUUGUUGUUGACAAGAUAAGAACUUCUAUUUAAAAUAUAUUAUUUUAUAUAAUAUAUACUAAAUUGGUUCAAUUUGGUUAUAUAAUUUGUCGUUUAUUUUUUUGUUGUACAUUUAUCUUUAAUAUUUGUAAAUAGAACAAAUUAUCAUAAUUGUUAUAUUUUUUGUAUAUAUGCAAUGAAUUAUAAACAUAAAUUGGUUACUAAUUAAAUAUAUUCCAUAAAUUUUUUUAUUUGAUUACGCUCUAACUUUAGAGGAUAAAAUUUUAAAAAAAUUCUAGUGGUGACAACAUGUGAACACAUUUAAUUAGUGACAUUAUCUUCAACCAACAUUAUCCCAUAUAUCUAUGUCUUUUAUUUCAAGGCAUAGAUUUGAGGGAUAGUGUUGGUUGAAUAGUGUCAAUAAUUAAAUGUGUUAACAUCUUGUCAGGGAUACUGGAAUUUUUUUUAAAAUAUUAUCCUCUAAAAUUAGACCGUAAUCAAAUCCAAAAAUUUAUGGAAUAUAUUUAAUUAGUAUCCAAUUCAUGUUUAUAAUUCAUUGUGUAUAUACAUUAAAAAUAUAACAAUUAUAAGAAUUUGUUCUAGUUACAAAUAUUAAAAACUAAAUGUGCAACAAAACAUUAAACGACAAAUUAUAAAACAAAAUUGAACCAAUUUAGUAUAUAUAAGAGACGCAUUGUUGUUUCUGCUCUUUGAGAUACGAAUAUUUGCUAUUUAUGCUAAAAGCGUUACUAUUAUACCUAAGGAUAUUCAACUUGCCAAAAGAAUCGCAGGCGAGAGGGUUUAGAUUUGUUACGAUGUGAAAAGUUAUAAUGGUGAAGUUUGUGUUUUAUAGCUUGGGUUAUGUUACUGAUUUAGAUGUCUAUUUUCUUGUAACAAUGCUCUGACCUAUGAUUUUGUAAUAUUAUUGUUAUGCAUUUUUUUAUUUAGUGUAUUGCUUUUGUUUGUGUAACUUCGCAUAUAAAUUGAAUAUUAAUUUUUUAAGUUAAUCUAGUUGGGUUGGUUAAGUGGUGUUGGCUUGAGAUAUUGGAGUGUGAUCCUCCUUAAAGUUUUAUGUUUAAUUUUUUUUUGUGACAAUUUGGAUGAACUGGUUUAGUUUUUUGAAGAAAAAAAAAAACUCUUUAUAAUUUAAUGAUUUUUUUUUCUCAGACUAAGAGGGUAUGAUAAAAAUAUAAAAUAAUUGAAAUUUAAUGGCUUGAAAAAAAAUGAGUUAUAAAUUAAAAGAAAGGAAGGGUAUGGAAACACAUAGAUAAAUGGAGAGGUUUGUCUCGUGCUGCUGCUCGUAAUACAUGCAUAACCGAAUAGUAUUUGGGUGACAUUAUGGUUGUUGACAUUGGUAAUAUUGAUCAACCACAAUGUUACAAGUGUACAAAAAAACAAAAACAAAAAACUUAUGAAAGAGGGAGCGAGAGAAAAGAAAAUCACUUAUAACAUUAUGGUUGAUCAUUAUCACCUACCACAAUAUCACCCAUGAACAACCACCAACCCUAAUCUGUUUGUCCAGCUCUAUGCGCAUUUUCUCAAAUGGAAUGGAAGAAAGAACAUAUUAAUUAAAGAAACUCAUCUUUUUUAUCUCUUCCUAACUAUAUGUUUAUAACUUUCUUUGAACUACGGUUUCAAACUUGUAGGAAGUUUUGUUCCCUUUGAUGCUCACUUUCGUAGACAAUAAUGGAAAUUUGAUGGCUUAAAAAGCUUGGUAGCAGUGUCACUUUUGACCGUAGGUGUGUGAGGUGUUUUUACAUGUAUUAGUGUUUGACACUAACAUAUGUGAUUCAUUUGUACUCCUAGUUCCACUUCAAAUUAUCAUUUGAUAAUGUUAUGGCUGAUUUAAGUUGUGGAAGUCAAUGGGAUACCGAUGCUUAUUGUUGACACAAGUAUGCAAUUGUAUGAUAUAAACACGUGUUGCCACAUUAAAAAUUUCUACUAUUAUUAAUAACGAGUGAUGACACCUUGUCAUAACAGUAUUUUAAUAAGACAUUUUGCCAUCUUUUAGGCAAGUACUUGAAUGUUUUAGUUGAGUUUUCUAAUAAGUUGAAGAAAUGUUCAUGAAAUAGAAGAAUUACACUGAAGAUCUUUAAACUAGACCAAUUAAUCCUAACCAGGCAACUAUGUGGCCAUGUUGUACUCUUUAGAAGAAGUAUCAAGGGAUCCCUUAGGGUAUAGUCACUAGACGUUUCAGUGAAGAGAAAUGGGACAAAGAGUGAAGAAAAUGAAUGAACUAGCUACGCCUCGUGCAGGCUGAGGAAAAAAAAGGAAUGGACGUGCCACUACCUUAUGCGCAUCACACAGAGGAGGCUCGUGUGUCGCACAUGUCUGUUACUGAACUAGUGGAUUGCAAUUUCCUAUAUAAGGCAACGGACAAAACUGGUUUAGCGUUCGAUUUUUUAUGAAAAGAUGUUGAGGAAUACAAUUUAUGAAGGAUCUAAAUUGAAGAUCAAACUUGGAAACAGGAUUGGGGCUUCUACAUCAUCAUCAUCUAUUCAUGUAUAAUUCUUCAUAAAUAUUAGUCAUGUUUAAUUUCAUCAUAAGUUGUUGAGUUUUUUAGAUUAGGUCAAGUAGAUGAUCUUCUUCGUAGUUUCCUGAACCAUAUAAUCCAUAGAGUACUCUUUUACGCAAUUGCAAGAUUAGUCUUUAUUCGGUUAAUCUUUGUUCUCAAUGACUUUUGUAUGUUUACUAAUAUAUAAAUUUAUCUAGGUAUCAAAUGGCUACUAACCCUAACGUUUGAGACUUUACCUAAGUUAAGAGUUCAAUCAAUAAUAGCUUUAGACAUUGUAUUAUCUCAUUUGUGAUACUUAGUUUAAC
rnacentral:lncRNA from 1 species